rnacentral:rRNA from 1 species
CGAAGCAACGCGAAGAACCUUACCUAAGCUUGACAUCCCAAUGACAUCUCCUUAAUCGGAGAGUUCCCUUCGGGGACAUUGGUGACAGGUGGUGCAUGGUUGUCGUCAGCUCGUGUCGGGAGAUGUUGGGUUAAGUCCCGCAACGAGCGCAACCCUUGUCUUUAGUUGCCAUCAUUAAGUUGGGCACUCUAGAGAGACUGCCAGGGAUAACCUGGAGGAAGGUGGGGAUGACGUCAAAUCAUCAUGCCCCUUAUGCUUAGGGCUACACACGUGCUACAAUGGGUAGUACAGAGGGUUGCCAAGCCGUAAGGUGGAGCUAAUCCCUUAAAGCUACUCUCAGUUCGGAUUGUAGGCUGAAACUCGCCUACAUGAAGCUGGAGUUACUAGUAAUCGCAGAUCAGAAUGCUGCGGUGAAUGCGUUCCCGGGUCUUGUACACACCGCCCGUCACACCACGGGAGUUGGAGACGCCCGAAGCCGAUUAUCUAACCUUUUGGAAGAAGUCGUCGAAGGUGGAAUCAAUAACUGGGGUGAAGUCGUAACAAGGUAGCCGUAUCGGAAGGUGCGGCUGGGUCACCUCCUUUCUAAGGA